rnacentral:rRNA from 1 species
GACGAACGCUGGCGGCGUGCUUAACACAUGCAAGUCGAACGCUAAGGCUUUGCUUUUGCGCUGUGCUCGUGUGUCGAACACGUGAGUAACAUGUGUGUAUCCUGUCCUCUACUUUCUGAUAUCUUCCUGGAACUGUGGCUCUUGUCCUGUAUAAGCUCUUUCUCCAUGUGGUGGUUUGUGAAGUUUCGUUGGUUGGGGAUGGAUUCGCGGCCUAUCAGCUUGUUGGUUGGGUAGUGGCUUACCAAGGCUUUGACGGGUAGCCGGCCUGAGAGGGUGACCGGCCACACUGGGACUGAGAUACGGCCCAGACUCCUACGGGAGGCAGCAGUGGGGAAUAUUGCACAAUGGGCGGAAGCCUGAUGCAGCAACGCCGCGUGAGGGAUGACGGCCUUCGGGUUGUAAACCGCUUUCGCCAGGGAAGAAGCGAAAGUGACGGUAAUGGGUGAAGAAGCGCCGGCUAACUACGUG